rnacentral:rRNA from 1 species
UACGAAGGGGGCUAGCGUUGCUCGGAAUCACUGGGCGUAAAGCGCACGUAGGCGGCUUUUUAAGUCAGGGGUGAAAUCCUGGAGCUCAACUCCAGAACUGCCUUUGAUACUGAGAAGCUUGAGUCCGGGAGAGGUGAGUGGAACUGCGAGUGUAGAGGUGAAAUUCGUAGAUAUUCGCAAGAACACCAGUGGCGAAGGCGGCCUCACUGGCCCGGUACUGACGCUGAGGUGCGAAAGCGUGGGAGCAACAGG